UCUCUGAUAUCUCGAUAGAUCCUGCUUACCCUUCACUGUGCGCUCAAUAGAAUAGAAGGGAAGGGAAGAAAACUAUGGCCGAGAGA
rnacentral:snoRNA from 1 species